rnacentral:tRNA from 1 species
GGGCCCGUAGCUCAGCACGGUAGAGCGCUCGGCUCAUAACCGAGUGGUCGUGGGUUCAAGUCCCACCGGGCCCA